rnacentral:rRNA from 1 species
GAUCAUGGCUCAGGAUGAACGCUAGCUACAGGCUUAACACAUGCAAGUCGAGGGGAAACGACAUCGAAAGCUUGCUUUUGAUGGGCGUCGACCGGCGCACGGUGAGUAACGCGUACCCAACCUGCCCAUCACUUGGGAAUAACCUUGCGAAAGUAAGACUAAUACCCAAUGAUAUCCCACGAAGGCAUCCGAAUGGGAUUAAAGAAUUUAUCGGUGAUGGAUGGGAUGCGUCUGAUUAG